UCUUUGGUGGUCCAGUGGUUAGGACUCGGUGCUUUUGCUGCCAGGGCCUGGGUUCAAUCCCUGGUCAGGGAA
rnacentral:tRNA from 1 species